AUUGAACGCUGGCGGCAGGCCUAACACAUGCAAGUCGAGCGAGCGGCGGACGGGGGAGUAAUGUCUGGGAAACUGCCUGAUGGAGGGGGAUAACUACUGGAAACGGUAGCUAAUACCGCAUACCAUCAGAUGUGCACAGAUGGGAUUAGCUAGUAGGUGGGGUAACGGCUCACCUAGGCGAGGAUCCCUAGCUGGUCUGAGAGGAUGACCAGCAACACGGGAACGGAGACACGGUCCAGCCUCCUACGGUAGGCGUCAGGGGGGAAUAUUGGAAAUUGGGGGCAAGCCUGAUGCAGACAGGCCGGGGGUGUGAAGAGGGCCUUCGGGUUUUAAUGCACGUUCAGCGGGGAGGCGUUACCCGCAGAAGAAGCACCGGCUAACUCCGUGCCAGCAGCCGCGGUAAUAC
rnacentral:rRNA from 1 species